rnacentral:lncRNA from 1 species
CCCAUGUCCACAAAUACACAUGAUACAGGUUAGAAUAAAGUAAAGGCUUAGGAGUAGUUAUACGGAGUGCCAUGAAAUCACAUCUAGGAAACAUGGCUUCAAACUGGGGCUGGGAAGAAGAGAUUCCAUACCGGAGAAAGCAUCUGAUCCUUGAAUAGGCAUUGCUCACUGGAAGAGGAAAGGGGAAGACCAUAGGAGGGAAGAUACCGUGAUACAAAAGAUAUUAAUACAAAUCUAUUUUUUAAUCGACUUGGGGAACAAGAAGGGAGGAAUGACACACAAAAUGAAACUACACAUAUUUGUAAGAUGCUUGCAUUCUACUGAGAAAGACAACAAAUAUGUAAGUAUAUAAAAU